rnacentral:rRNA from 1 species
AUACGUAGGGGGCGAGCGUUGUCCGGAAUGAUUGGGCGUAAAGGGCGCGUAGGCGGCCUGUUAAGUCUGGAGUGAAAGUCCUGUUUUCAAGAUGGGAAUUGCUUUGGAUACUGAUGGGCUUGGGUGCAGGAGAGGUUAUCGGAAUUCCCGGUGUAGCGGUGAAAUGCGUAGAGAUCGGGAGGAACACCAGUGGCGAAGGCGGGUAACUGGACUGCAACUGACGCUGAGGCGCGAAAGUGUGGGGAGCAAACAGGAUUAGAUACCCUGGUAGUCCACACUGUAAACGAUGAAUGCUAGGUGUAAGAGGUAUCGACCCCUUUUGUGCCGGAGUUAACACAAUAAGCAUUCCGCCUGGGGAGUACGGCCGCAAGGUUGAAACUUAAAUGAAUUGGCGGGG